CCCUUAGAUGUUCUGGGCCGCACGCGCGCUACACUGAUGCAUUCAACGAGUUUCUUCCUGGUCCGAGAGGAAUGGGUAACCUUUUGAAAGUGCAUCGUGAUAGGGAUAGACUAUUGCAAUUAUUGGUCUUCAACGAGGAAUUCCUAGUAGACGUAGUUCAUCAGACUGCAUCGAUUACGUCCCUGCCCUUUGUACACACCGCCCGUCGCUCCUACCGAUUGAAUGCUCAGGUGAGCCAUUCGGACUUUCAUCAUGCUGGUUUCCAGUUUUGAUGAAGGAAAGUCUUGCGAACCUUAUCAUUUAGAGAAAGGAGAAGUCGUAACA
rnacentral:rRNA from 1 species